rnacentral:misc_RNA from 1 species
GGUAGUCAUUCAAGAGCUGCAAUACAUAAAUACAAUUUGCAAAUCUCGUAUGAAAUCAACAAAUAACACGAAGCAAAAAAAUUUCAGAUGAAGGCUAAAGCCCAUACUAAAAAUGUAGUUUCACUGUCUUAUAAAAACAAACUUUCAACUGAUAUUGUAACUUCGGUUCAAUUCGAAGAAGAUGGAAAGAAGAACUUGGACUUAAAACUAUAAAAAGCAAUUGUCAGCAAGACAAAACUAAUGAUAAUUACUUCAUCAUUUAGGGUGACUCAAGCCAUAUUAUGCAUCAAAAUCCCAGUCAUGUUCUUUUCCAAAAUCCAUUCAAUUCAAACACCUAAUUUUUCUUCAGAGAAAAUGAAUUUAACGAGUCAACUUCAGAAUUGGAGGAAACAGCAGAAGUUAUCAAAACUCAAUAAAACAGCUCUUCUACCUUGGCAUGACAUUCAACAGCAAC